GGCAAGUGAUGCAACGGGGCUUCGGCCCCGGGGUACGCGGCCAUCGCGUAUGUCCGGUGUCGUCGGCGUGCACUUCUCCCCUAGUAGGACGUCGCGACCCGUUGGGUGCCGGUCUAAGGCCCGGGUGGUAGCCUGUUUCGUCGCUUCGGCGAUUUGAGGCAGACCCCUGGUCGCCAGUCGCCGGCUGCCCGGCGGUACUCGCAUGGUAUCGGGCCGCAAAAUCGAACUGCGUCGGGCCCGUCGCAAGCGCGAUCAGUGUUUCACGGAUGCACGGACCCAGUGCCGUCACCGUGCCUGAUCAGCUGUUGGUUUGACGGUGUUCUCCGACUGGCCAUUGAACAAUGAUGAUACCGGUCAGCGUCGCUACUGCCUUGAUUA
rnacentral:rRNA from 1 species